rnacentral:rRNA from 1 species
UACGUAGGUGGCAAGCGUUAUCCGGAUUUACUGGGUGUAAAGGGCGUGUAGGCGGCUCUGCAAGUUGGGUGUGAAAUUCCCGGGCUUAACCCGGGCGCUGCAUCCAAAACUGCGGAACUUGAGUACUGGAGAGGAUAGUGGAAUUCCUAGUGUAGCGGUAAAAUGCGUAGAUAUUAGGAGGAACACCAGUGGCGAAGGCGGCUAUCUGGACAGUAACUGACGCUGAGGCGCGAAAGCGUGGGGAGCAAACAGG